CAGCAGGUGUGGCCUUAACUUUGUUGUCCUGCUGUGAUUAUAUGCAUUUAUACCAAUUGUUCCGACUGAAUAGUGUUACUACUGCCUGUCGACAACCUGCAUCUAUCGUUAAGUUUCAGCCUUGUAUGAGCUAGAC